CCUGCUUACUGGUAGAGGAGAGCUUCUGUGCUUUGGGGAGCCAGAAUACCUGCCUCCAUGUGCCACCCGGCCAGGCCCCUUUAUUUGGGACCUUAUCCUAUGUAUCUCUUCAGCUGGCUGUUAACUUGUGUCUUCUAUAGUAUCCUUUAUUAAACUGGUAAACAUAAGUGUUUUCCUGAGUUUUGUGAGCCUCCUUAGCAUAUUAAUGGCACCUAAUGGGGAGUCCGUGGGAACCUCCAAUCUGUAGCAGGAUGGCAAACCUGCAGAAGUUGAAAAAACAUUAAGAGCUGACAGAACAAUCUGGAGGGAACGUCUUAUGAAUAAUAUCAAUUGAUCUUUGAGGUGGAAAUAAUGUAAUAAUGGAUUUGAUUACAUGUUUAGCCUCCACUACUCUAACCAAAGAAAUAGUCUGCCAUCCCCUUGCUAUACUACCACUACUUUUCCAACUUAUGAUGAAAUGCAGAAUUGAUCAAAAGAGAAAUCUAUUCUAAGAAAAUGUAUAUGAUUAAUGAGUAUAUAAAACAUGGAACUUUUCCAAAUAUAAAAGUAUACAUAAAAUAUCUGGUUAGAAAUGAUAUAAAGGAUCAAGGAUCAUGUGGAAUAUAUGUUUGACAAAUACUUUGUAUAUUAAUAUGUGCAAGAUAAGUUGCCCUGAAUUAGCAGAGUUAGGCAAACAUGACAUCACUUGGUAAGGAUGUGCCUUGGUCAGCAAGAAACACAGGUCUAACCAAAAGGGUGAGAUUUCACAGUGAAAUUCCUGUAGCCCCAGGAACGAGAAAGAAACAAAAGUGCAAUAUGGGAGAAUUUAUGCAGAUGCCAAUGAUCAAGCUCAAGGAGAAGGGUUGAAUUUACGGAUAAAAGGGUCUUCCUGAGUUUCAUUCACCUGAAGGACAUUUCUGCAUGGCUGCUGUUAUUUUCAUCCUGCUGCCAUGGUUACAACAGCAUAAACAAACUAAGUGUUCCUGGGUGAAUGUUACUCCACCUGUCCUACCCGGAGGCAGAUAUACUGUGAAGCUAAAGUAGCUUAAGAGUCACCUACACAGACUUCUUCCAAGGCCCAGCAAGGUCCUAGAAAUGGUUUCGCAUGGUCAUGUUUAGUAAAAUUUGCAGGAGAUACUUCUAUCAUAAUCAGUUAAGACUACUUUUUCCACUCUGACUUUCCUUCUGAUACACUUCCCCCUGGUUAUGUAACAUUGGAAUGGCUAUAAGCAUUUUGGGAUCCAAUUAAUGGGAAUUUGAACUGAGCAUACAUUUGGGGUGGACUUAGUGGAAUAUAAUUGUGUGCAUUGCAGUCACUUCCAUGCAGAGUAAGUGGUGCUAGCCUUCCAAGUACAGAAAUGGCUUCCAUGAAUAUUCCUACUGUCUAUUGCACCAACUCGCUUGGCAUCCUGCAGGUGAAGGUGCAGGGCCACAGGUCAUACUGAAAUGUGACCUUAUCCUCCCAUGGACAGCACUGUAAGAAUGUGGAUAAAGGAGAAGAAACAUGGAGGGAAGAAAUGAAUGGAGGUAAAAGUCAGUGUUGACCACUGAGGACUCUCACCCAUAUUCUGCUGCAGCACUGAAUGCCUGCAGCUUCGGGAAGCCACCUUGCCUGGACAUGCCAGGGAGGCUGGCCCACCCCAAUGACUGACUGAUCCUGGUGCAUAAAAGCCUUCGCCUCUUAGCAGGGUGAUUCAUACUCCAGAGCUCCCCAGACCAUCAGGCUGAGGCCAGGCCUUCUGAAACCAUGCAUUUGCCUGGUGUUUCCAGCCCUAUCCUGUAUCCCUCCCCCACAACAAUUUCCUGAGAACCCUCCUUCAGUAAAUUGCUUGCUCUUGAAUCCCUAUCUCUAGCUCUGUUUCUAGGGAACUCCACCUAAGCAAGUAUCUAAGUUUUGUCAUUUUUCUUUUCUUUUCAAAUUACAAAGAAUUUGUAAUUCUUUUGCUUAAAAGGCACAAAAUUGUAUAAGCAUUGAGUCCCCCAAAUUCUGGAUUUAUUUCUGGUCCUACUUAUUGGUAUCACUGUAGAGGAUACUCUGAGCUGGAAAUUGGGGAUCUCAUUCCUUAGGUAGUUUGAGGAGCCAGGUUGGGUUGUUCACUAUUUUGACAACUUCUAUGAUUGUUCUUUCUGCCUUUUGGCACCACCAAAGCUCAGGCUAAAGGGGUAGGAUAGAAGAUGAAGUGGCUAAGAUUAGAUUUAGCAGCAUUUAACCCCAAACCAAAAUACCAUGUAAAUUAUAAAAUAGAAUUUUAUUUCUCUCAUAUAAAAUAAAUCUGGUAUUAGUUCAGGGCAACUCCACAGCCACCAGGGACCACAGCUUCUAUAUUUCUAUUCUGCCAUCCUAAGUAUAUGGCUUCAUUCCUCAAGGUUUCCUCAUGAGUUGAAGAUAAUUGCUGGCAUUCCAACUAUCAUGUCCGUAUCCCAGGCAGUGAGAAGAAGAAAAGGAUUAAAGAGUGUGCCCCUCAGCUGAACCAAAUCCUUUUAAGGGGCCAUUCUAGAUGUCUUUCAUAGAAUUUCCCUUGAUGUGCUUUUGGCCAGAGCUUGGUCAUGCUGCUCUAACUGGGUGCAAGGGAGGCUGAGAAAUUUAGUCUUUUCAGAUAGGCAAUUUGCUGCUAGAAUACAACCUGGAAAAUGGCAAGCAGGUGGACAAGGGGAAGCUGAGAAGGCUGAAAUUCAAGUACCUGUAGUCAGAAGAGCCAAAAAACAAGACAUGAACAGUUGUGGAAUGGGUGGCACCUGUCAUUUUGAAUGUGGCAUGGAUUAAAACAAGGUUAGUUGGAAGUCUGUAUAAGGAGUUGCGAGAUCUCUGGACACCAGCCCUACCAUUGCACAGCCGGGCACCUAAACCUUUCCCAUUCCAACAGAACCAAACAGGUAUUCUCAUUGGAAACAUUGAAACAGAGCUCUGGCCUCAGGAAUAUUCCAGGGAAGUAAGACAAAGGUACAAUAGGGAGGUUAAGUUAAAUUCUACAUAUUGAGUUGCAAAAACCUUUGGUGCCCUGCCCUGACUCAAUUCCUAGAAUAAGAGCAGCCAGGCUUACACCCUCUGCAGAAGGAGAGAGGAGGUCUCUCAAAAAACAGAACAACAACAAAACAAAACAACAGGCCCAAGAGAAAAAAAGUACACAUGCUACUAUCUGGGGGUCUACAAAGUAACACCUAAGUACAGGAGUAUAGUAAACUGUAUGAUAAUGCUACCAGUUAACAUACCCUGGCUAAGCCUCCAAUCCUUUUUGUGUGUGUGUGUGUGUGUUUCUCUCUUAAAUAAGAAUGGAGAGCCAAGAAUCACUAGACUUUUGGAGAAUGUCUCUGUAAAAUUGGCCCUAUUUCCAAUAUAAUGGCCUGUGAGCAUGAGUCCCAGAGAUGCCUGUAAUGGAGUCUUGUUCUAGUUCUGAACCUCUCAGUUUGAGAAAGCAUGUGCUGGCCUGAGAGACUGCCGGUGAAAAAGAAACUGUGCACAUGCUCAGUAUUCUGUGCUGUCCUAUGCUCUGUCUUGAUACUUAAUGUAUGCCCAAGUCUAAUGGGUGCACCUGGCUCUAACGAUAUGGUCUCUGGCACAUACUAUGAUUGCCUUAGUGCAGAACUACUGCAGGCUCUCAGCCCCUGACAUUACCCAAUGCGGCUGCUCACUACUUCCCUACUGACAGUGAAUCGCUAGCCUGCUGCCAGACACUGCAGACUAGUAGUUGAGACUGCCCACUGUUGCUGGACACCUAAGAUCCAAGAUUCCAAUCAUUUUCUGGGUGAUGUCAGGAAACGAUGGAAUAAGGAAGGAGUCGCUCCAUCUCAUUGAUUUAAUGUGAUGAAUACAUUCAGGAACAUGUGGAAAGGGGUAGCAUGGGAAGGUUCUGGAGAAUUCAUGGGCCAGAGGCAUCUACUGCCUGGGGAUGAUCUUAUCCCCAUUGCAUGCUCUGUCUGACAAAGACUGAAGUUCAAAAGGAUGUGGCUAAGCUUCAUUUAUUGAUGGCAAUGCCCACAUUAACUACAACCCCUAAAGCAGAAGGCAAGGAAAGUCAGCUUGCUGGUUGGACACUCCAAUGCCUUAGCUUAGUUUCCCCUGAAAGCAGAGCCAGAGACAUACUCUUAGGUGCAGGUGACUUAUUUGGAAGAUAAUCCCAGAAAACAGAGGAGAGCUAUAUAGGCAAGGAAAGAAAAGUCAAUAAAAUGCAUGUUAUUGAACUGGUUACCACCACAUACAGCUGAGGUCCUGCUUGGGACCUUCUGAAGAAUUCUUAGAAUUCACUUGGAACUCUACACUUUUGAUAAACUGCACAUACAAUUAAAGAAAACAUGUCUAUACUAUGUAUAAAAAUAAAGUAAAAGUAAUUUAAUUACAAAAUUUACAUGACAAUAGUAUUUUCAAACACUAUUCUGAGAACUGAAGUUCUUAUUGAGUGUUCCUUUGGGCGUAAGUAUGGUCCUUUAAGUUGAUGUUUUUAAAAUGCUGAUGGAAAUCCCUUUUGAAGAGACAUCAUUUAAAAAGUCUCUAGUUUCUUGAUAGUCUAGUAUUUGGUUUGCUUGAAGUCUGGAUUAAUUUCAAAGGAACUCAGUUCUGUUUUUAGGAUGGGAGGGCAGCAGAGGAGCUCCAGCCCAAGAACAGGACUCCAUAAGUGCUUCCCUGAAGAAAAUGAGAAGGGAAAGGAGGUCUCCACAGAAACUGUCCUGGGACCCAGGGCGAGGAUGGGAGGGUAGGUGGGCGAAUGUGGCCUGGCAGCGCAGGGGGCUGAGCAAAGGGAAAAGAGCAGCUGUACUUGCAGCCCCAGGUCCACCCCUACGAAGGGACAGUGAGGGAGCUAUUGUUGUUUGGAAGAGCUACUGAGAUGUGGUGACUCCUAGGCCAGUGACCGGAUCGUUCUCGGAACUUCAGCUGCCGUCUCUUCUUGCCUGGGACAUCCGGAUGUCUUCUCAUUCAGUUCUUUUAUUAGGGAUACUUUCUAAUGAUUAUCUUCUGUCUAUGAAACUUUCAAAAUUAAUAAUAAUGAUAGUUUUCUUUUAAAAUAAACGUGAGCUAAUUUAAAGAAAAAUAGUAAGCUCAUUAUUGUGAAAAAGUGCCUCAUUAUGGUAAAAAUCUUGCAAGAUACAUGAAAAUGGUUUAAGUCCAAGAAACAUUGGGCUAGAUCCUUCACGAUUCAGAAGAUGACUUCUAUUUUCAUUCCCAUUUCCUAGUACUAUGUUUGACAUACAGUAGAUUGUUGGGGACAGC